rnacentral:tRNA from 1 species
GGGUCGCUAGCUCAAUUGGCAGAGCAGGAGCCUCUUAAGCUCAAGGUUGUGGGUUCGAUUCCCACGCGACCCA